CGAUGUUCUCAGGGCGGGGUGAAAAUCCCCACCGGCGGUAAGGGUGACGUAGCCCAAGCCCGCGAGCGCCUUCUUGUCUGGGAAACCAGAGAAAAAGGGUCAGCAGAUUCGGUGUGAAUCCGAAGCCGACGGUUAAAGUCCGGAUGAAAGAGAACGGUU
rnacentral:ncRNA from 1 species